CGGGAGGUUGGCGUUGGACGUUCCACUCGCCAACCGGGUCAGGUCCGGAAGGAAGCAGCCCUAACGAGCACGGGCGGGUCUUCGUUCAGCCUCCCACCU
rfam:Chelatococcus sp. CO-6, complete genome.